rnacentral:rRNA from 1 species
UACGUAGGGUGCAAGCGUUGUCCGGAAUUAUUGGGCGUAAAGAGCGCGCAGGCGGCCUAUCAAGUCAGAUGUGAAAUAACCAGGCUUAACCUGGUGGGGUCAUUUGAAACUGGCAGGCUAGAGUACAGCAGAGGAUAGCGGAAUUCCCGGUGUAGUGGUGAAAUGCGUAGAUAUCGGGAGGAACACCAGUGGCGAAGGCGGCUAUCUGGGCUGCAACUGACGCUGAGGCGCGAAGGCUAGGGGAGCAAACAGG